UCGUCCAAAGCCCAUAGAAAUCCAUUUCCUAAAGUCUUGUUCCUUUCUUCUCAGUGCCACCUUCACUCUUCAAAAAUCCUCUUCAUGUCAACUAGUCUUUCAAUAUUUUUCUUUGGCAUCUGAUUCUGAACUACACCGGCGAUGAAGAGGAUGGCUCAGAGAUGAUUCAUUUGAUGAUAAAAUUGGAUGAUGACUUAUGCUGAUUCUUAUAUCCUACUAAUUGAAUUUAGGGUUUUCCUAAGUCGUGCUUGAGUCAAUUGAUCUUACACGAGGUGCUGAAGUGCAGAUUUAAGUUCUUGGAGUUCACUAAUUCAGUAAUUCUAGAGGGUUGCUGAUACUGCACAUUCAAGGUGAUUUGGAACAAUAUUAAGGUGGUGGGCGUAUGUGUGGUGCUGCUUGGGUGAAGAAGGAAGUAAAGAAAGCAGGGAACCGUAGAAGGUUUCGUGGUGUAGUUGGUUAUCACGUCAGAAGGUCUCCAGUUCAAACCUGGAUUUUUUUUAAGUUGUUGGUAGAAUCAAAAUUCCUUUAUGGGAUUCCUUACAAGGGUCAUUUCAAAAAAGCCGUGUCAGGUAAUUUGUUAUCUGGUCUGGUGACGACGACUGCAGUGAAGCUGUUCAACUGGUGAAGAUGGACGCAUCUGAUCCUAAAAACCAAAUACUUCUGCAAGUUUAUAAAGCCGACUAAAUAAGUUCACUUUGUAGAGCUUUUGUCGACCUAUAGUUAUAAUUUGUAUGUUUGAUGUUUUGGUACCUUUCUUGUCAUAGUUGCUUAAAGGGUUCUAUGUAUCUGAUCUCUUAUAUUGGAAAAUUUUGUAAGUAUUUAGAUAUCCUUAGUUCGCAGGCUACUACAGUUGAAUCAUCUGCAUGUGUGUUUGAUCCAUACUUGGCUACUUGUCGCCUAUCUUGUUUCUAGAGUUCUGUAAUGCAUCCUAUAUUGCUGUUA